AUUGAACGCUGGCGGCAGGCCUAACACAUGCAAGUCGAGCGGAUGAAGGGAGCUUGCUCCUGGAUUCAGCGGCGGACGGGUGAGUAAUGCCUAGGAAUCUGCCUGGUAGUGGGGGAUAACGUCCGGAAACGGGCGCUAAUACCGCAUACGUCCUGAGGGAGAAAGUGGGGGAUCUUCGGACCUCACGCUAUCAGAUGAGCCUAGGUCGGAUUAGCUAGUUGGUGGGGUAAAGGCCUACCAAGGCGACGAUCCGUAACUGGUCUGAGAGGAUGAUCAGUCAACACUGAACUUAGGAACCGGUCCGGCUCCCUAGGGAAGGAAGAGGUGGGGAAUUUUGGACAUUGGGCGAAGGCUUAAUCCAGCCAGGCCGCGGGUGUGAAGAAGGCCUUCGGAUGGUAAAGCACUUUAAGUUGGAGGGAGGGCAGUAAGUUAAUACCUUGCUGUUUUGACGUUACCAACAGAAUAAGCACCGGCUAACUUCGUG
rnacentral:rRNA from 1 species